CCUACGGGAGGCAGCAGUGGGGAAUAUUACACAAUGGAGGAAACUCUGAUGUAGCAACGCCGCGUGGAGGAUGACACAUUUCGGUGCGUAAACUCCUUUUAUGUGAGAAGAUAAUGACGGUAUCACAUGAAUAAGCACCGGCUAACUCCGUGCCAGCAGCCGCGGUAAUACGGAGGGUGCAAGCGUUACUCGGAAUCACUGGGCGUAAAGCGCGCGCAGGCGGCUUUGUAAGUUGGAUGUGAAAUCCUAUGGCUCAACCAUAGAACUGCAUCCAAAACUACUUAGCUAGAGUCUGGGAGGGGAAGAUGGAAUUAGUGGUGUAGGGGUAAAAUCCGUAGAGAUCACUAGGAAUACCAAAAGCGAAGGCGAUCUUCUGGAACAGUACUGACGCUGAGGCGCGAAAGCGUGGGGAGCAAACAGGAUUAGAUACCCCAGUAGU
rnacentral:rRNA from 1 species